rnacentral:rRNA from 1 species
AGGGAAUCUUCCGCAAUGGACGAAAGUCUGACGGAGCAACGCCGCGUGAGUGAUGAAGGUUUUCGGAUCGUAAAACUCUGUUGUUAGGGAAGAACAAGUACCGUUCGAAUAGGGCGGUACCUUGACGGUACCUAACCAGAAAGCCACGGCUAACUACGUGCCAGCAGCCGCGGUAAUACGUAGGUGGCAAGCGUUGUCCGGAAUUAUUGGGCGUAAAGCGCGCGCAGGCGGUUUCUUAAGUCUGAUGUGAAAGCCCACGGCUCAACCGUGGAGGGUCAUUGGAAACUGGAAGACUUGAGUGCAGAAGAGGAGAGUGGAAUUCCACGUGUAGCGGUGAAAUGCGUAGAGAUGUGGAGGAACACCAGUGGCGAAGGCGGCUCACUGGCUCGAUACUGACGCUGAGGUGCGAAAGCGUGGGGAGCAAAC